CCGUACUCAUCAAAAUUACCGUACUCUGAUGUGAAAUCACUGUCACACCAGCUUGAUCCAUUAUUGCUGCAGCUGCUACAGGGCGUAGAGGCGGUGGUGGUUGUGGUGCAGUGAUGUGGGGAGGACGCCAAAUCCGACGGAGUUUCACUAUCCAUGUAUGCGCUCCUUCUACUUCUAGAGAGCCUUCGAGAAAGGCUUCUGGGUAGAAUUGAUGGAGAUUUGAUAGCAGUGAAGUGGAUGUUCUUGACUGAUUUAAUGAUAGCCUGGAAUGCAGAGAGUGAUCUUGAACGACUUUUAAGCAGCUUUUCAGCACUAAGAUCAUUUUCGCUAGAGAAGGAUGAAUUUGAAUCAUGCUGAAUGAGAAAAUCUUUGAGCAUUCGAGGACUGUGCUCUAAAGGAAGAUAUACUACAGAGGAACCCAUUGUUUGAUUUUUGAGAAAUAUACUACAGAGGGAUGGAGUUGGCAAGAGUGAAAUGGAAAGUGAGGAGUGAGGUUUUUUAAAGGAGGAGGAGAAGAAAGAGGGAGGUAACUUCUGGCCAGUUGGGAUAUCCACGUAAGAAGCUCGUGCAACACAUGAAGAAGAAGCCAUACAGGUGGAAGCGCGGAUGCUUCUAGUUUUCUUUUUAAUUUCUAAAUAGGAGAAUAUGCAUGUUCAUUAAUGGUUAAACAUUUUCUUUGGUCUCAGUAAUCAGCAUGCAUGGAUGAUUUAGAACAUUCAUUAACCAGAGAACUAAAAGCAGGUGCAAUUAUUCAUAUUAGCAUUCUGUAAAUUGUCACAUGUAGGAUAAUGUAAGCGUAUCAGCA